rnacentral:rRNA from 1 species
ACGUCGUCGGUUGUAAAGCUCUUUCGGCAGGGAAGAAACGGUUUGGGCUAAUACCCCGAGCUAAUGACGGUACCUGAAGAAGAAGCACCGGCUAACUACGUGC